GACGGGGGGGGCAAGUGUUCUUCGGAAUGACUGGGCGUCAAGGGCACGUAGGCGGUGAAUCGGGUUGAAAGUGAAAGUCGCCAAAAAGUGGCGGAAUGCUCUCGAAACCAAUUCACUUGAGUGGGACAGAGGAGAGUGGAAUUUCGUGUGUAGGGGUGAAAUCCGUAGAUCUACGAAGGAAGGCCACAAGCGAAGGCAGCUCUCUGGGUCCCUACCGACGCUGGGGUGCGAAAGCAUGGGGAGCGAACAGG
rnacentral:rRNA from 1 species